UGCAAGUCGAACGCGGUUACCCCGCAAGGGGUAACUGAGUGGCGAACGGGUGAGUAACACGUGGGUGGCCUACCUUCGAGUGGGGGAUAACGUCCCGAAAGGGACGCUAAUACCGCAUAACAUCCCGUCCUUGAACGGAUGGAGAUCAAAGCCGGGGAUCGCAAGACCUGGCGUUUGAAGAGGGGCCCGCGUCCGAUUAGCUAGUUGGUGAGGUAACGGCUCACCAAGGCGACGAUCGGUAACCGGCCUGAGAGGGCGGACGGUCACACUGGGACUGAGACACGGCCCAGACUCCUACGGGAGGCAGCAGUGGGGAAUUGUUCACAAUGGGCGCAAGCCUGAUGACGCAACGCCGCGUGGAGGAUGAAGGUCUUCGGAUUGUAAACUCCUGUUGCCCGGGACGAAAAGCUUCGACCUAACACGUCGAAGUCUGACGGUACCGGGUGAGGAAGCCCCGGCUAACUCUGUGCCAGCAGCCGCGGUAAUACAGAGGGGGCAAGCGUUGUUCGGAAUUACUGGGCGUAAAGGGCGCGUAGGUGGCCUUCUAAGUCGAACGUGAAAUCCCUGGGCUCAACCCAGGAACUGCGUCCGAGACUGGGAGGCUUGAAUCCGGGAGAGGGAUGCGGAAUUCCAGGUGUAGCGGUGAAAUGCGUAGAUAUCUGGAGGAACACCGGUGGCGAAGGCGGCAUCCUGGACCGGUAUUGACACUGAGGCGCGAAAGCCAGGGGAGCAAACGGGAUUAGAUACCCCGGUAGUCCUGGCCCUAAACGAUGAAUGCUUGGUGUGGCGGGUAUCGAUCCCUGCCGUGCCGAAGCUAACGCAUUAAGCAUUCCGCCUGGGGAGUACGGUCGCAAGGCUG
rnacentral:rRNA from 1 species